GCCUGUCUAGCUCAGUUGCUAGAGCACAAAGCUCUUAACCUUGUGGUUGUGGGUUCAAGCCCCAUAGUGAGUG
rnacentral:tRNA from 1 species